UUCCCAGAGUUGAAAAAGAUCUAUCUGCAAAUCUGAGAGCUAACUUAGCUGCGUAAUUAUAUUUGCCAUUAGAAGGCUGCGUUCCAGUCUCCUUAUUGGUUUGAAAUUCCAUUAAAUAUAUUGCUCGAGCUCCCAGGUUAAGCUUGAUUUAAAUUUGCAUACAUUUUCAUACAUUUAGGAGAAAUAAAAGAAGGCUGCAGCCACCAGAAAGUCAUUAAAGAGCGCUGAGCCGAGCCACAAGCUGCUUGUGGAGACAGAGACGGAGAGGAGGCCGGAGCAGGUGAGCUGACCGCGGGGCUGGGAGCGUGGACAGGGCCGCUGGAGGGUGGACGGGGCCUCGGUAACCGGAGGAAUGACAGACAGCGGCGGGGAGGGGAAGGGGGUGCUGUUUGCAGAAGAGGCUUGUAUAUUGUCCCUGGGUCAGUGAAGGAGCCAUGGCUGGUAAAAGAAAAAAAAAAUCUACAUAACAUUACCAUCUGUUAAACUUCAAACACAGACACACACAUGAACAGGGAGCAUCCUAAACAGAGAGCAGUGGAGGAGAGUAGAGAGUCUAUAGAAAUGCAAUGUAUGCUCUUCAGCCCCUCUCCAACGCCUCUUCCACAUCCUCCUCCUUCUUCUCCUCUUCUGUGCUGAGAGCAGAGAAGAGCUCGGGGUUGAGGCCUCGGAUGGCACCAACGAGCAAGGGAAGUUUUUAAAAAAAGAGAAAGAAAACAGGACUCCGGAGCAGAAAUAAAGAGAGGCAGGGUUUGUAGGAAAAACUGUCUCUGCUGAAAAAUGUUCUUUUCUUCAAAUCCUCGCACAAAAGUCAAAUGCAGUGGAUGUUUAAUGAAUGGCCCCAGUGAAUUUGGUGUAGAAUAUGAGCAAGCAGCUCUCCGCCACAGCUAAACAACCAGCCAACAUACUUUCCCCUGUGGCCCACACACACACACACACACACACACACACAUGUUUGUACUUCUAUCUUAGUGAGGACAUCCAUAGGCGUAAUGCAUUUCCUAGAGCCUUACCCUAACCUUAAUUAUCACAACUGAUUACCUAAACUUAAUCCUUACCCUAACCCUAACCAAACCUCAAUUCAUACCUGUUCUCUAAAAACAAGUCUUCACCCUCAAACAUGGCUGUUUCAAAGUGAGGACCGGCCAAAAUGUCCUCACUUUGUAAAAAUGUCCUCACUUUGAGAGUUAAAUGCAGAAAAUGGUCCUCACCAUGUAGCAAGUACAAGAACACACACACACACACACACACACACACACACACACACACACACACAUACACACACACAGGUCCCUCUGAAGGAGCAGGCGGAGCCGGCAGUUGCACAUCUGCAUUUCAAACACAGACUCUCUGGGAUUCAUUAUUAAUUAGCCUGCUGAGCCCUGGAGGACUGGUGAUGCUGCCGUCACACACACACACACACACACACACACACACACACACACUCGCACACACACACACACCUCGUGACCCCUUUGCCCCCUCUACAGUUAGAAAGUCCUCACCAGAAUACUGAGCCGUACAGAAACGCUGCUUUCCAUCCUCCAAUCACGUCCACCUUCCCCUGAUUUCCCCGCCUAAUGCAUAGUAAGGAUGAUGAAUUACAGGAGUAGAUGGUUUUAUUAAGCUGAACGCGCUGUGACUGUGUUUAAAACACCACAUUCAAUUGAGUUGUUUAGCACAGCAGAGUCCUAAAUGACACAGGCGAGAGGAUGAGAGAAACCUGAGUUGCUGUACUUCGUGGGCCUCAAUAAACACUGCCACCCUCCUCUCCCGCCUUUGUUUGCUUUAUUCUUUGCUAUUUGUGGGAAAUGAGCAGUGUUUUGCUUUGCCUCUAAUUUAGGAGUGCAUUUCUGUGCAUGUGCACCUCUGCGCAUUAACCUCCAGCAGCAGCAGCAGCAGCUAGAAGCAGAUCAGAAAGAGACGGCGAUUAUGCAUGAGCAACGUCUCCAGGGUCCAGAUAGAAAGAGGGAGAGACAUCAAACACACUGCAGCGAGAACACUCUGUCCACAACGCACGUCCCACCGCUGCGCAAAGUUAGGCUGCGCAGUUUACAAAAAUAAACACGAUGCGAAGAAACGCUGGUUUCAAGCUAUUGUGUGUCUGUGCUGUUGCCUGCGGUUGAAUUAGUAUGCAGGGAGCCUACGGUGGAGGCACGGAUCACUCAAGAGCAUCAGAUUGUGCAUGAGUUUCUGACACAUUCCUGACAGGAUGACGCUAAUAUUUGAAUGUCUUCAAUUAAAAAAAAAUGCUCCUGGAAGACAAAAGCCCUGCAACAUGUGUCUCCAUCCAUCCAUCUAGACAUCCGCCAUUAUGGCUCAGAUAAUAUUACCAUUGCCAUUGGGGCUAUAGGUGGGCAGUCUGUGAUCUCUCCCUGCACUUCAUCACCUCACCGAUUGGCUCGCUCCAGGCUAUAAGUCGGGCUCUGAUAGGGCAAGAAGCUCUGGCAGUAAUUUGAACAUAACUACAUAAUUGAGCAGGACUCCACCAUCAUCAGCAUCUUCCAUUGAAGUCUUCAAUUUAGGCCUCAGAGUGGCUGAAGCUGCUGCUCAGCUGUCAGCUUCUAUCUCUAUUCAAACUGAUGCCGCAUUAAGGUGCAACACUCAUGGCGCAGCAUCCUAUGAGGGUCAGCCCCUCUUGAACCAGUUGGAUCUGAUUCGGAGCCAGCAAUGGAGCUCCAUGGAGCACACACACUUCCUGGUUUUUAGCAGAGAGCAGCUGAGUAGCGGAGCGGCACGAGUUGGAAAAAAAGAGCACUUCUCGACAACACAGCGUCGCCUUUGUUAGGUGUGCAACGAAGAAUCUGGGGCAAUCGAAAAAUCUGCACAAAUGUUGUUACAAGUUCUCGCUCCGAAAGGGAAUUCUCGAUCCCUGUUCGGAAGCGUUCCCCCCCUCGACCCGCUCUUUCUUUCAAAGGAAUGUACAUAUGAUUUUUGGUUUCAUACCAAUUCCACCUGGAGUCUCGAAGGCAAGAAUAACAAAUAUGGGAAACAUUUAAUCCAGAAUAAUAUGUUUAUCCAGAGACCUGCGGACUUGGGGAGGAAUGGACCCCCUCUGAUGUGGUUUGCUGCCAGUGUGUGUGUGUCUGAGUGUGUGUUCGUACAGUAUGUGUGGGUUGGCUGUGUGUUUGGGUUGGACGGGUGAGACGGGUGAAGAGACCCUCCACCUCCUGGGGCCAGGAACUGUGGGUGAGGAGGAAGAGAGGUCUAACACACUCUCGGAUUUCUAAAGUGUGUUUGUGUGUGUGAUACAGGAUGUGACAAAAGCUGUGCAGCAACUAAGUGGACGACUUGGACUGAAUUGCAGUAAAAGCAUCUCAGUUAUGGUGUUGCUUUGCACAGAGAAAGGAAACAAAAUAUAAAUUUAAUCUUCCUAACCUUCCUUCUGUAUUCCUGCUAGUGGAGUUAAGUGUAGAGAAAACAUUCGAAUCUCCAAAGUACGUGGAUGAGAUGCCUGUAAAGGAAAAAUACAGUUUGUUACAGCUGGGGUUUAUUUUCAUAGUUUUAGUCAUUAUUUUUGCUGAGAUAAAAGAAAUCCGCAGUGAAAUCUGACAGCGCAAGAAACACAGACAGAUGAUCAACAUGCAAACAGUUUAGCCGGAUUCUCCAAAGUGCCGCAAGUACAACCUGAAAUGACAGUAACAGGCUUUAAAAGCAGGAGAAAACAGUGGAGACACACAACUGUUUACCUAAAGAUCAAUGUUGAACCAGGAAUUCAUUCUAGCAACAGUGAGGGGUGUCGCACGAUAACGCUUAACGUGAGCCUCUUUUUGACAUUUCUACGUAGACGUGAUGCCAAUUUUGCGUUUGUGAAAAGACUACUUUUAUGUAAAAGUCAUGAUGACAUCUCUACAGGUUGAAACAAGAAACUCAACCAGGAUAUUUUCUUACUCAAAAUUGGCCUUUUGGAGAUGACUACACACGGCAGUAAGUAUAAUCGAUCUGUGUUAUCCUAUUUGACAGAAAUCAAGAUUUUUAAUCUAAUUUGUGAUCAUUUGAUCAACAGAAAUGUCUGUUUUGUUGAAAUUUUUAUCUUACAUGUACACUACCGUUUAAAGGUUUGGGGUCCUUUUUAAUGUGAAUAACAUUAAAUGAAUCAUAAAUGCAAUCUAGACAUUGUUAAUGUGGUAAAUGACUAUUCUAGCUGGAAACGGCUCAUUUUUAAUGGGAUAUCUCCAUAGGGGUACAGAGGAACAUUUCCAGCAACCAUCACUCCUGUGUUCUAAUGCUACAUUGUGUUAGCUAAUGGUGUUGAAAGACUCAUUGAUGAUUAGAAAACCUUUGUGCAGUUAUGUCAGCACAUGGAUAAAAGUGUGAGUUUUCAUGGAAAACAUGAAAUGGCCAUGGGUGACCCCAAACUUUUGAAUGAUAGUGUAUCUUUAUCUUUACUUCGACAAUAGCAAUUUGCUUUGCUGUGCGCUAACACGGCUUUGGGGUUACUAAAAUUCUUCCACACAGGAAAGAAUGCCCUGUUAACAAUCUACAUCUUGUUGCAUCUUCUUAAACUGUAUUUGUACUUUUGCAAAUACGCGUACGUACAUAUCCAUGUACUCUUCACAGAAAUGUUGCUAGAGAUCGUGGCGACACAGAUUGUUCUGUUUUGUGGAAGUGUGCAAUGUAAUCACUGCAAACAUAUUGAUUUGCACAGAGAUUAUGCUUCUGUGCAACAAAAUGUAAUAUGCAGCAGGUUGUAAUGGUAUCUAGCGUGCUUUCAAUGCAAAUGCACACACCAGGAAUUCUGCCAAUGCAGCCAUAUGCUGUUUUCUCAUUUUCAUAGCUCUACCAAUAUGUAUGUAGACUCUGUCUUGCAGUAAUUUCACAAAAAGUAACUGUUGCGCAACAUUUAUUAGCUUACAAUCCAACAGGAUCUGUUUCGUGCCAGUCGCCAUGCUUUCAAAAACACGAAGAAAGUCAACGCAGUGGCCUAAAAACCCGACUGCUAACCUAUGUUUUGGCGGCAUAAUUGGAGAACAACAUAGAUCAGGAGACAAAAGGUGCAUUUAUAUUUUAAAUUAAGUGAAAGCAUGUAAAUAAAGAUUUAGGUAUUUAUCUUGUAUCUUUAUCUUCCACUUUAAUAUCCUGUCAUUCUACCUGUAGUGCCCUCUCAAGAUGUGUUAAGAGAGAAGGUGCUAGGAAGUUAAACGUAUGGUUGUUGCUAGAGGUACGGACCCAUACCCGUAGCCUGUGGACUACAGAUACGGCACUUUCCAUUUGCCAAUCAGAUACGCAAGAUCUGGUCACGUGACUCCCGGUAGACGCUAGCUGUACGGACCCGUAGCAUCGGUACGACAGGUACGGACCCUAAAUCUGACCCUAACACUAACCCUAACCUUAACCUUUGCUUACCUUUCAACAGUUUGCAGUGGUUAGCAGCUUCUUGACUCGCGAGACUCGCGUACGGGUCCGUAUCUGUCUGGCAAAUGGAAAGUGCCGUACCCGUAGCCUGUGGGCUACGGAUACGGGUCCGUAUCCGUAGACACUACCUUAACGUAUAGAUGUUACAAGCUAACUACCAUCAGUGGCACCAACUGUGUUUGUGUGGAAGCUGAGCCUCUGACUGAUCACUGAAAUCAUUACAAACUGUAUGUCUUUCUGUUAUUAGCCUGUUUUUUCCUUUCCACUUGUCUUUGGACGUCUUGGAAGUAGAUUCAUAAAGGCCCCAGGAUUCGAGCAAAUUCCCCUCUGUAAUUAAAACUCACAUGCAUGCAUCUUGUUGUCAAUUUCUGCAUGUUUUCACAUCUAACUGCGACUUUAGGAAACAGGCAGCAGAAUUCGCUGUCUAACAAAUGAGAAUUUAUGAGAAGUGGGGGCGAGUGUUUCUCAUGCUCUCGAUGGUCAUAAAUUAGGACUUAAAUGGCAAAAUAAGUUUGAAAAUCUAUGACACAUGCAAUGCACCACUAUUGUGUGAGCCUCCAUAACGGUCCUGUGACAUCUGAAUACAGACUAAAGAAGCACUUAUGGAAGCGAUACUUGUGUUAACUGACUUAAACAGAGGUACAGCAGGAAUGGUUUGGUUUUCUACAUCUGAGAAAGGCUGUGAAGGUUUGUUUGAAACCAGCCUGAUAAUCCAACCACUUUGUGUUUCGUGACCUGUUGGAUUUCUGUUACAAUACGAAAUGAUGUUACACAAAAUACUUGUAAUAUGAUGUAAUACUGUGGACCUUAAUUAUGACACAAAAUGAUGUGAUAUCAAAUGAUUUGAUACAGUAGGCCCAACACGCAGUACAAUGCAAUGUGAUAUUAUACAGUGUAAUACGGUACGAAUGUGAUAUACUACACUAGGCCUACAUUCUAAUACAUCACACAAUACUAUACAGUAUAAGAUAAGAUACAGUUUGAUGUGAAAUUAUAUGAUACAGUAGACUCACAAUAUGACACAAUACUAUGUAUUACAAUGUGAUAUGAAUAUAUCUAUAUAUAAUACAUGAACAACAUGAUACACUAGGUCUGCAAUAUGAUAUGAUAUGAUAUGAUAUGAUAGGAUAUGAUAUGAUAUGAUACCAUACAUUAAAAUAUGAUAUUCCAUCCAUA